UACAAUUUCCACCAGAUCUCUUCUCUCCAUUUCUAAAACUUUGUACGUUACCUGCCAGCGGAGGUCCGAUGAGCAGCGUGACGCUCUCCAUGAUGGCGAGCAGACCUAGAGCUGAGGGGAAGCGGCUCAUCUCCACUAUCUCCAUGAGGACAGUGAACAUCAGCGAGCCCACCACGCUCAUGGACAGCCCGUAGACCGCCACAUAAGCCAGCAGCACGGGGAAGCUGGGCCCGAUGCAGCAGAUGCUGUUACUGAGCCCGUUGACCAGCAGAGCAGCGGAAAAUACGUAAAUGUGACGCCCUUUGAACCAUGACAUGCUGAAGAGGAUGCCGAAGGGCGGCCGCACCACGAUGUUAACCAUACCCAGGAUGCCGAGCAGCAGCGCGGCCCGGCUCUGCUCCAUGUCGUUAGCUGUGGCGUAGGGAACCAGUUUCCUCCUCGGGCGGAGGGGGUCCGUGGUUCAUGAGCGGCUGGCCGCGAUGCUUGGGGGGCUGCAGGGGCCUCAUCACUGCUCCGCACACGCAGCAGUUCAGCAGGAUGGCCCCCAAAACAAGGAAACUUCCCCUCCAGCCCAGCUCUGUGUGGAGGUAGUCACCCAGGAAAGGCAGAAAGCACAGUCCCAGCGCUGUGCCCGUAGACGACAUCGCGUUGGCGAACGCACGGCGACGCACAAAGUAGUGCCCGAGGAUCGUCACCGCUGGCUGGAAGCUGAAGCAGAAACCAAGUCCUGUAACGACGGAAGAAGACAUUCAGAGUGAUACAACAUCAGAGAGAAAAAUCUUCAGCUGCCAGAUGUUCAGCUCGUCUCUGACUGCUGUUCGGUGCCGGCCAGGUAGAGCGCCGUUGUUCAUCAGGUGUCAGCUGGGGUAAUAAAUCUGCUGAGUGUUUGCUGACCUGUGAUAACCCCGGCCGUGAUGUAGAGCUGUGUGAUGGACUGGGUAAAUGAACUGGCAGCCAUUCCCAGCCCACUCAGGACGCCGCCCAACAUGACCGUCGCUCGGCAACCAAGUUUCUCCACCAGCACGCUACAUAAGGGACCUGUGGAUCAGAUGUAAUGCUCUUAGUUUAUUGCACACUGGAGCAGGAACGGACAAAAGCUCAUACAAAAGAGGCGAGGUCUCUGCUGAUGGUGUUCAGCUGUAAUCUGUACCGGAUGAAUGAAAGCGGGACUGAACAUAUGUUUGCUCUCUCUUUCUCGCACUCUGUGUGUGCACAUGGUGUUUAACUAAAGUUUAGCCGUUAGUUGACCCAUAUAACUGUGUUUUUUUUGUCACGCUAGUAUGAAAAUAAGCUGCACUGCAUGGCAAAUGUAUCGGUUGCUAUCAUCCAUCUCUCAAUUUGCCUGAAGAGAAAGUUUCACAUUCAGUAUUCUGAAGCCUCGGAGCUAAAUGCAGCGGGGUAUAUUGGUUAAAGGUCACCGAUGGGGGUGGGAAAUUCAACACGCGUCUUUGUUGUUAGGCAACAGGGCUGCAAGGUACUGACAGGGAUAAUACCUGGACCUACUGAACCUUAGCUUUCUCAGACUAAGGUUUGCAAAAGUAGCCUCAAAGAUCAAACAUUGAACUGAACUUGACUAAUGUGCAAUAAACCCCAAUAACCUUAUACAUGUAUACAGUGUCACCUCAUUGUGUCUACUUAUCUUGAUUUAUGCAUUUUACUAGUUCAAUUUUGCUAUUUUAUAUUUUUUCCAUUUGUACCAUUCGGAGAGCUGCUAAACUGUGUUUUGUUGUUGUGAAACAAUGACAAUAAAGGUCUAUUCUAUUCUACUUGUUUUAAG